rnacentral:lncRNA from 10 species
UCCCGGUGCAGGCGGCGUCAGGGCUGCGGGCGCGGCUCCCGCCUGAAAUCCCAGCUCUCGGGGAGGCUGAGGCGGGCGGAUCGCUAGAGCCCAGGAAUUCGAGACCAGCCUGAGCAACACGGCGAGACCCCGACUCUGCUAAACAGAGUCGGCCGGGAGCGGUCACGCCUGCGGUGUCAGCUACUUGCGGGGCCGAGGCGGGAGGAUCGCCUGAGUCCGGGAGGCGGAAGCUGCGGACUCCAACUCACCACCUGCCUGUGUGAGGGCCAAGAUGACGCCCCUGACUGGGAACUGGAAGACAACCAGGAGAGUGGCCAAAGGGGUCCUGGAGCAGCUCCCGUGCCCAUGGGGAGACCUUCCCAGGGCCAGGGCUUCAGAUUCUGGGGUUCACUUUGCAGCCACCCUUGGUCCCUGUCACUUAGCUUCUUAUGGGAACGUCAGUGACGUCACAGCCUCCUGCAGUGCCCUAGGCUGCUGCUACUCACUCUGUGACAGCCCUGGCUGGGUAGGGGCCCAGGCCCGGGCAUGCCAUGCAGCCAGCAAGGCUACUGCUGGACUGACGACCUCACCGCUACUAGACUGACCUCACCGCUACUAGACUGACCUCACUGCUACUAGACUGACCUCACCGCUGCUGGACUGACCUCACCGUCCCCGAACAUGCCAGGGAUCCUCGGGCGCCAACACGGGUCCUGGCACUUACUGCCUGCAAGCCCUCCUAGACCCCACUGUGAGCAUGAAACAAAACACCAUCCUUGUGGAAUCCACGAGGGCUCCUGAGUCAGCUUGGCCUAAGGGUGCCACAGUAGCUGAAAGUGGGAGGUUUUCAGGCCUCAAGGCCUUUUCACAACUCUCAGAAGUGGCCCCUCCUCCUCCCACCAAUGGCCCCUCCUCCUCCCACCAGUGGCCCCUCCUCCUCCCACCAGUGGCCCCUCCUCCGCCCACAAGUGGCCCCUCCUCCUCCCACCAGUGGCCCCUCCUCCUCCCACCAGUGGCCCCUCCUCCUCCCACCAGUGACCCCUCCUCCGCCCACAAGUGGCCCCUCCUCCUCCCACAAGUGGCCCCUCCUCCUCCCACAUGGCUCCUCGUCCUCAUCUUCUUACAGUCCUCUUGCUCCUCCCACUGGGACUGAACCCAAAGGCAUCUCUUCAAUGGGGUGGUCCCUGCCUAGGGAAAGCCGGUGCCUCCAGCCCUUUAGUGCCCCUUCUGUUAUGGCGUGUCUCCUGUGAAGUCUCUGUCAUCCCCAAGGUCAAGUUUGCUGGGCUCAAUGAUUCUGUGUGCCCUGCAUCACUUUGCUAGCAGGACAGGGAUUGGCCUCCAGUCUUCAGUCCCUCAUCCCCAAAGCCCAGACUAGAACUUCACAGAUGGACCUGGGGCCCCUCCCGGAGCCGGGCUUUCUGGAGUGUUCUCAUUUGCUAACAUCUGCCUCCCUCGGCAACCUUUCCUCUGUAAUGGAACAGGUCCAGAAGAGCCAUGUGGGCUGACACAGUAAGGCCUCCAGGCAUCUGUGCCGUGACGUGAGCAAAGUGUGAGCUGCAUGGUGGGAUAUGCCAUGCCUUGCCUAGGGGCCCGGGCACUGCCAUCACAGGGAGGCUUGGCCACCAACCGACAUGGCUGCCCCAGGUGGGAAGGGUCGGAUGGAGGACUCUGCCACCCACUCUUGGGAAACACCCCCAAAAUGAACGAAGGAAUGACCUCUGUCCUGUUUUAGCAUCCCGGGAGACACACUGUGGCCUAGGAUCCUGCCCGGCUGCAGGGCUCUGGAUGGGGCGUGACAUCCUGCCCCCGAGGGUGUGGCGGGGAGUCGAUGUCACACAGCUGAGCCACAGGGCCCAGGGAUGUGGUGAAAGCUUUCCCCAGGUCCCAAGUGCCCACAGCCCCUGCCCCAUCCAAGACCCAGAAAUGCAGCUCACUCUAGCCCUUCAGUGCGGGCCCGCUCUCAAGCCUGUCCGUCACCUCCCAG